rnacentral:lncRNA from 1 species
UCUCAUUCCGUGCUGGAAACGCUGGGAGGCAGGGAGUUUGAAAAAACGGCCACUGCCGCCCGCAAUGUCUCGGUCGUGGGUUCGUUAUGCCAGUUGUGCGUCAUUCUAAGCCGUUCUGUACAUUUAUACUGGAUAUUAACUGGAGUCAUUUAGCUGUGCUGAUGCUGUUUGCCGUGUGUUUUGCAUCAGUGCUUCGUGACACCGGCUGUAUUGCGUGUUUUCGCCGACGGCUUACUACCACAAUGGCGGGAACUGCGAUCACCGCCUUCGUGUCUCGGUGCGUCUUUGUACGUCGCACGUUCGGAUAACACUUUUUUCCGACGGCUGGACAUCCUUCUUGUACCUUGGCGCUAGCUGGAUGACGGGACCUCAUCAUGAUCAGUGUAUUGCUUGCCUAUGUCUACAAGAACCAUCACGCGUGGCCUGUGACAGCAAGCUUUUGUGGGCAGCAAGUGCUCUCCUACGAAGGCUGGCCUGCUCUGGCAGCGGCGGCAAUCAUCUUCAAGAUUUAUCCAUGAUCACCUUUGCAGCUAUUUGUCACUCUUGUUAAUUACACUUCCUGCAUCUUUUCUAAUUUAUUAGGUAA